UGCAUAUCAAUAAGCGGAGGAAAAGAAACCAACAGGGAUUGCCCUAGUAAUGGCGAAUGAACAGGCAAAAGCUCAGAUUUGAAACCUUCGGGAUUGUAGUCUGGAGACCUAGAUUUGGAAGCCGACCAAGUCUUCUGGAAUGGAGCGCCAUGGAGGGUGACAGCCCCGUAGCGGCACCGCUGUAAAUCUAGGUCAACGAGUCGAGUUGUUUGGGAAUGCAGCUCUAAGUGGGUGGUAUGCUCCAUCUAAAGCUAAAUAUUGGCGAGAGACCGAUAGCGAACAAGUACUGUGAAGGAAAGAUGAAAAGAACUUUGAAAAGAGAGUGAAAUAGUACGUGAAAUUGUUGAAAUGGAAGGCAAUGAGGCGCGAUUGAAGCGGGCGUUUGCGGGCAGGACAAAAGCGCAGGCAGCUUCGGCAACGCCUGCGUGCAUACUGCCACGCGGACUACCGCUUCUAACAACGCCUUACUGCACCCGUCUUGAAACACGGACCA
rnacentral:rRNA from 1 species